rnacentral:rRNA from 1 species
GACGAACGCUGGCGGCGUGCUUAACACAUGCAAGUCGAACGGAAAGGCCUCUUUCGGGGGGUACUCGAGUGGCGAACGGGUGAGUAGCACGUGAGUAACCUGCCCUUGACUUUGGGAUAACUUCAGGAAACUGGGGCUAAUACCGGAUAGGAGCUCCUGCUGCAUGGUGGGGGUUGGAAAGUUUCGGCGGUUGGGGAUGGACUCGCGGCUUAUCAGCUUGUUGGUGGGGUAGUGGCUUACCAAGGCUUUGACGGGUAGCCGGCCUGAGAGGGUGACCGGCCACAUUGGGACUGAGAUACGGCCCAGACUCCUACGGGAGGCAGCAGUGGGGAAUAUUGCACAAUGGGUGGAAGCCUGAUGCAGCAACGCCGUGUGCGGGAUGACGGCCUUCGGGUUGUAAACCGCUUUCGCUCAUGACGAAGCUUUGUGUGACGGUAGUGGGUAAAGAAGCACCGGCUAACUACGUG